AUGUGAACAAGUAACCAAUGCCUGCAUAUUCGGGGGCAUAGAGUGGCAUGCGAGGGACGGAGAGGUUGAGCUGGAGGCUCCCCGUGCACAAGGGUAACUGCCUGGGGGGUGAGCUGAGACUGACUCGCGGGAAAGAGAAAAAGACAGUUGCUCGUGUGAGGUCGUCAGUUGGUGGUGCAGGGAGGAGAGACAGAGCAGCAGCGGAGGUGUGAGCACCGGACGAUAGAGGAGAGGUGAACUUACGGAAAGAUUUGGGGGAGUGUAUCCACGAAGCUCCCUGCCACCCGCAUUGAUCGAUCCGCUGUAAGCCGAACAGAGGCGGGUGGAUCUCGUCUAUGACCCGUCAGAAGCUGCAUUGAAGUCCGCCUCCUAAGUGAGUGGGCGGUACGUACUGGCAAGGCCGAGAGCUAGGAGGGAGGUGCGGCUGGGAUACUAAGAGCGACGCGACCCUCCGGAGCUGCUGGAUAGAGGACACAGCCUCAUAGAGACUGAAGGGCAACUGUCCUGGCCAAUAAUUGAGUUGGGAGGAGGAGUCGAGGGAGAGGCUAUUCCCCUUUCAGGCUGACAGAUGAAUACGAAGAACCUGCAACAAAGAAAUAGAAGGUGUAAAAGGUAACGCCGUGAUAUGAGGGAUGAUUCCAUUCUUAAUGUCGAAUAGGCCCCAGGGACCAUCCGGGAAUAUAUUGUACAAUGGAGAAUUGCUAAAACCUGUUCUCUAUUACGGAUAUGUGAUUUAUACAAAAACACAUCUAAUUUACUUACAUUGUUCUGAACAAUUGCCGUGUACCAGGAAAAUAUCAUCGGAGGAUAAUUGACAGUUGUGCCCAUACUGAUGAAAUAGGAAAAUAUAGUGUAGACUAAUUACGAUACCAGAAACAAUGCAGAAUUUAACAUGAAGAAGAAACCUGACUGUGAGGCUGUGAUUGGAUUUAUACAGCUCUAACAUUAUCAUGUAUACCAGAAUUACCUGCCAUGUCUGCAGAUACUCUGCAGCUAGAACAUUGUUCCUCUGUAUUUCAUGAAUACAAAAAAUGUGCAGUAGUAUUGGCGCUGAGUCCGUAAGAUGUACCCUUAUAUUACUAAGGGAAUAUAUAAAUGAGAUCUAGUUGA